rnacentral:tRNA from 1 species
UGACCUAUAGUGUAACGGUAGCACACCAGAUUUUGAUUCUGUUUGCCUAGGUUCGAAUCCUAGUAGGUCAA